CUUCCAUGUGGGACACGAGCCCUCAAUGCCUGAUAAAGCCUGAAAGCCACAAUCUGCCCUGGAAACCCAGCUCCACCCUGCUUCCACUACAUCAGGAGGUGAAGGAGGAAAUUGAAAGUGUGAAACACCAGUGGGAGGAAAAGGUUCCUGUAACAAAUGUGGUUAUCAACGGGAAAGAAGCUUUCUAGAGCUUAUAUAUGGGGCCGAGUCAUGCACACUUCAUCAUACUCACCAGGGGACAACCCAGACCAUCAUUCUUCUCUGGUCUGUCACCUUCAUCCUCCACUUGCAGCCUCCUUUGCAGUGACCAUACAGGUACAGACCAUGAGCAGGAUGCACAGGGGUUUAUGUGGUCAGGCCUGCCUGGAGUUGGCACAUAGCAUUUCUGCUUCCAUUCUUAGGUCUGAAAUCCAGGUCACAGAGCCCUAACAUAACUACAAAGGAUCCUGAAAAAUGUUGUAUUCCAGUGUGCCUCGGA
rnacentral:lncRNA from 1 species